rnacentral:rRNA from 1 species
AACGAACGCUGGCGGCAGCCCUAACACAUGCAAGUCGAGCGAGAUCUUCGGGUCUAGCGGCGGACGGGUGAGUAACGCGUGGGAAUAUGCCUCUUGGUACGGAAUAGCCUCGGGAAACUGGGAGUAAUACCGUAUGUGCCCUUUGGGGGAAAGAUUUAUCGCCAAGAGAUUAGCCCGCGUUGGAUUAGGUAGUUGGUGGGGUAAUGGCCUACCAAGCCGACGAUCCAUAGCUGGUUUGAGAGGAUGAUCAGCCACACUGGGACUGAGACACGGCCCAGACUCCUACGGGAGGCAGCAGUGGGGAAUCUUAGACAAUGGGGGCAACCCUGAUCUAGCCAUGCCGCGUGAGUGAUGAAGGCCUUAGGGUUGUAAAGCUCUUUCAGCUGGGAAGAUAAUGACGGUACCAGCAGAAGAAGCCCCGGCUAACUCCGUG